rnacentral:rRNA from 1 species
UACGUAGGGUCCGAGCGUUGUCCGGAAUUACUGGGCGUAAAGAGCUCGUAGGUGGUUUGUCGCGUUGUUCGUGAAAACUCACAGCUCAACUGUGGGCGUGCGAGCGAUACGGGCAGACUAGAGUACUGCAGGGGAGACUGGAAUUCCUGGUGUAGCGGUGGAAUGCGCAGAUAUCAGGAGGAACACCGGUGGCGAAGGCGGUUCUCUGGGCCUGUACUGACGCUGAGGAACGAAAGCGUGGGGAGCGAACAGG